AGAUGAGUCUUCCCUGAUACUUUAAGUAUCCUAAAGGGUUGUCGGAGACUACGACGUUGAUAGGUCAGGUGUGUAAGUGCUGUGAGGCAUUGAGCUAACUGAUACUAAUUGCCCGUGAGGCUUAACCAU
rnacentral:rRNA from 1 species